rnacentral:rRNA from 1 species
GCCAGUGGUCAUAUGCUCGUCUCAAAGACUAAGCCAUGCAUGUCUAAGUUCAUAACUAUUAAAGUUGAAACUGCGAAGCGCUCAGUAAAUCAGUUAUCGUCUGUUCGAUCGUUCAAGCUACAUGGAUAACUGUGGCAAAUCUAUAGCUAAUACAUGCAAAACCCUCCACCAUAAGGGACAUUUAUUAGUUAACCGACACCACCCAGCAAUGGGUAGCAGGUGAAUCUAGAUAACUGUGCUUACCGUAUAGCUUUACGCUGACGGUAGUUCGAUCGAAUUUCUGCCCUAUCAACUAGUUGGUAAGGUAGUGGCUUACCAAGGUAGUAACGGGUAACGGGGAAUCAGGGUUCGAUUCCGGAGAGGGAGCCUGAGAAACGGCUACCACAUCCAAGGAAGGCAGCAGGCGCGCAAAUUACCCAAUCCAGACAUUGGGAGGUAGUGACGAGAAAUACUGGGGGCGCUCCUAGUGAGUGUCAUCCGGAAUGAACGUAACACAAAAAAUUCGAUGAGGAUCUACUGGAGGGCAAGUCUGGUGCCAGCAGCCGCGGUAAUUCCAGCUCCAGUAGUGUAUAUCAACAUUGUUGCGCUUAAAACGCUCGUAGUUGGAUUACAGGGCGUCAAACAGCGGUGCAUCAUUGUACCUCUGGUUGUGGUGCUAGUUUCGACUGGCGCUGCAAUGACGCCCUUUUGUCGCACUAGUCUUUGUCGACGCCUUUACUGGCGUUGGCUAAGCACUGGUGGAGUGUGCCUUGAAUAAAGCAUAGUGCUCAAAGCAGGCGUACGCUCGUGUGUAAUAGCAUGGAACGAAUAUACAUGGCCCAACGUCGCUGGCAACAGCGGCGCGGUUCAAUCAGUGUUGGUUGUGAACCAGGUCUCAGCGGUUAAAAGGGACAUCUGAGGGUAUUAGUACUUUGUGGCGAGAGGUGAAAUUCUUAGACCCACAAAAGACUGACUACUGCGAAAGCAUUUGCCAAGAAUGUUUUCAUUAAUCAAGAACGAAGGUCAGAGGAUCGAAGACGAUCAGAUACCGUCCUAGUUUUGACAGCAAACUAUGCCAGCGUAGGUUCAGGGCGAUCGCUCUUUACGAGUCGCAUCACCUUGGCCCUUAAGGGAAACCUCAAGCUUUCGGGCUGCUGGGAGAAUAUCGCUGCAAGGCUGAAAUUUAAAGAAAUUGACGGAGAGGCACCACCAGGAGUGGAGCCUGCGGCUUAAUUUGACUCAACACGGGGAAACUCACCAGGUCCAGACAUUGGUAGGAUUGACAGACUGGUAGAUCUUUCAUGAUUCGGUGAAUGGUGGUGCAUGGCCGUUCUUAGUUGGUGGAGUGAUCUGUCAGGUCUAUUCCGGUAACGAGCGAGACCACGGCCUUUAGUUGUAGCGGCUCCUUUUACAGGGGUCAUCUAACUAGAGGGACAAUUGGUUUAAAACCAGGGGAAGCGUGGCAAUAACAGGUCUGUGAUGCCCUUCGAUGUCCUGGGCUGCACGCGCGCUACAAUGGCAACAGUAGAGAGUUGCUUCCUAGAGAUAGGCUGGCUAAACUGUAAAAUGUUGUCGUGAUUGGGAUUGUGCCUUGUAAUUAUUGCACAUGAAAGAGGAAUUCCUCGUAAGCACAAGUCAUCAGCUUGUGUUGAAUACGUCUCUGCCUCUUGUACACACCGCCCGUCGCUACUACCGAUUGAAUUGCUUCUAAAGCUGGCUGGACCGGACUUGUACAUGUUGCGAGCUGGGAGGGCCGACGAUGGAUGCCAUUUAGAGGAAGUAAAAGUCGUACAGGUUCC